GGAGAGAUGCCGGAGUGGUCGAACGGGGCGGUCUCGAAAACCGUUGUGCUCGCAAGAGUACCCAGGGUUCGAAUCCCUGUCUCUCCGCCA
rnacentral:tRNA from 1 species